AUGCAGAACCCUUCCUCAGUUUGAUGGUGUUUUGAGAAACAGAGUUCUGCAACAAAAAGAAUUACCCUUUCUACAGAAGAGCUUUUAUAUAGGCAGCCAUUUAAACACUGAAGUGACGACUUGUUCCACAAGUAUUCUUUGAACUGCCUUCAUCUAAACCACAGAACAAACCACAUUCUUCUUCAGAAAUGCUGAACAUUAUCAGAUGGGUCUACUGCCUUCUGAAGAAAGAGGAAAUGAAACAGCCUCCCGUCCAACAUUCUCUGAGAGAAGAAAAACGACAAGAAAAAUUCCCAGUGAUGGAUAUAAUCAUCCAUACCAUUAAACAAGAUCAAGAUGCCUGCAUCAGAAGUCUCCUUAAGCGAAGGUCCGCAUCUGCAGAGAAGAGUGCCAUUGUGGGCUUCAUCUGUACAGCCCCUCCACACUGAUGCCAAACAUGGGCCCAACAUGCACAUCAGUAUGCAGUGGUGGGUGGGGUGAGUAGGACAUGGUCUUCCAUGUGUUUCUUCAACUGUGUGAUAAUGUUUCUAUGGGUAUCUUCACUGCCUGCCUCUGUGCUGUUAAUGUAAAUUUAGCCCUAAACAUUUUUGUCAGGAUUAGGGCCCCACUCACUACUUUUCUAGUUUCUGUGAAACU
rnacentral:lncRNA from 1 species